rnacentral:rRNA from 1 species
CCUACGGGAGGCAGCAGUAGGGAAUCUUGCACAAUGGGCGAAAGCCUGACGCAGCAACGCCGCGUGGGGGAUGAAGGUCUUCGGAUCGUAAACCUCUGUCGGCAGAGAAGAACGGUCACUGUGCUAAUCGGCCAUGAAUUGACGGUACCUACAAAGGAAGCAACGGCUAACUCCGUGCCAGCAGCCGCGGUAAUACGGAGGGGGCGAGCGUUAAUCGGAAUUACUGGGCGUAAAGCGCUCGUAGGCGGUAUGUCAAGUCAGGGGUGAAAUCCUCGGGCUCAACGUGGGAAGUGCAUUGGAAACUGGGAAACUGGAGUGCGGGAGAGGAGAGUGGAACUCCAGGUGUAGGAGUGAAAUGCGUAGAUAUAUGGAGGAACAGCAGUGGCGAAGGCGACUAUCUGGUAUAUAACUGACGCUGAGGAGCGAAAGCGUGGGUAGCAAACAGGAUUAGAUACCCGAGUAGUC